rnacentral:rRNA from 1 species
AUUGAACGCUGGCGGCAUGCUUUACACAUGCAAGUCGAACGGCAGCGCGGGCUUCGGCCUGGCGGCGAGUGGCGAACGGGUGAGUAAUGCAUCGGAACGUGCCCAGUAGUGGGGGAUAGCCCGGCGAAAGCCGGACUAAUACCGCAUACGACCUGAGGGUGAAAGCGGGGGACCGAAAGGCCUCGCGCUAUCGGAUCGGCCGAUGUCGGAUUAGCUAGUUGGUGGGGUAAAGGCUUACCAAGGCGACGAUCCGUAGCUGGUCUGAGAGGACGACCAGCCACACUGGGACUGAGACACGGCCCAGACUCCUACGGGAGGCAGCAGUGGGGAAUUUUGGACAAUGGGGGCAAGCCUGAUCCAGCCAUGCCGCGUGCGGGAAGAAGGCCUUCGGGUUGUAAACCGCUUUUGUUCGGGAAGAAAUCCUCUGGGCUAAUACCCCGGGGGGAUGACGGUACCGGAAGAAUAAGCACCGGCUAACUACGUG